CAAAGCUGCUGCCUCAUUUAGCGAAUGGCAUUCAGGGCGCAUUCAAGGCCCUUACUGUAUGCCCUUCUCCUUGGGUUUCUGCUGCAUGGGUAGAAUGGGAGCUUGAAGAACAGUGUCCCAAGAGAACUCACUGGACUGAUCGGAUGAUAACUUCUGGGUUUAUUUUCACCAAUGGAACCCCACAGUCAAGGCUCCAGGGUCAGUGUCCAGACCAAGAUCCCCUGAGGCCUGCUCAAGCUGACAUGUUUUGGACAGCUUUUGGCUAUGUAGCCCAAAUUCUCAAUCCUCCUGUCUCCAUCGUUCCUCACUUAUAGACUUCAAGGGAUUGCACUUGAUGUAUCAAUUACGUCUCUGUUGCUACAGCAAAACGCCAUGGUCAGAGCAACCUAUGGAAGGAGCCUUAGGACCUUAGGAUUCCAGAAGAACAAGAGAGCCCACGAUGGCAGAGGAGAGGCCAGGCAACAAGCAGCAGGUGCAGGGCCAAAACCCAACUCCAGUGACACACUUCCGCCAGCAAAGUCACUCUGAACAUCACAGACAGUACCUGCUAGCCUUCUGUCCAAACUCCUCCCCACAGUUACCUGGCAACAGCCAGGUAGGCCUGGCCCACUAUAAAAGGGGCUGCUCGCCAUCUCUGUCUCUCUGUCUCUCUCUCUCUUGCCUUCUUUCCUUCCUUUCUUGCCUCUUGCUCUCUUGUUCCCUCUCUCUCCCCAUUCCCUUCCCCCACCUCCACGUGGUCAUGUCUGGCCUCUACUUCUGUGGCCCGUAGUCCAUCUCUGUCAAUAAAGUCUUAUUAACCCACCUC
rnacentral:lncRNA from 1 species